rnacentral:rRNA from 1 species
AGAGUUUGAUCCUGGCUCAGGAUAAACGCUGGCGGCGUGCUUAACACAUGCAAGUUGGACGGGAAUACUCGAGGAAGAGACUUCGGUUAAUUUUUUGGGUAUGAGAGUAGCGGACGGGUGAGUAAUACAUAAGAAUCUAUCCAUCAGAGGGGGACAACUGCGGGAAACCGGAGCUAAUACCCCGUAAGCCGGAAGGUGAAAGGGAGCAAUCCGCUGAUGGAGGAGCUUGUGUCCUAUCAGGUAGUUGGUGAGGUAAGAGCUCACCAAGCCGAAGACGGGUAGCCGGGCUGAGAGGUUGUACGGCCACAUUGGAACUGAGAGACGGUCCAGACUCCUACGGGAGGCAGCAGUGGGGAAUAUUGGGCAAUGGGCGAAAGCCUGACCCAGCGACGCCGCGUGAGGGAAGACGGCCUUCGGGUUGUAAACCUCUGUUGCAGGGGAAGAAGGAAGUGACGGUACCCUGCGAGGAAGCUCCGGCAAACUACGUGCCAGCAGCCGCGGUAAUACGUAGGGAGCGAGCGUUAUCCGGAAUUACUGGGCGUAAAGGGCGCGUAGGCGGAAUGACAAGUCAGCAAGUGAAAGCGUGGGGCUCAACCCCAUGAUGCGGCUGAAACUGUUAUUCUAGAGGCAUGGAGAGGCAAACGGAAUUCCCGGUGUAGCGGUGAAAUGCGUAGAUAUCGGGAAGAACACCAGUGGCGAAGGCGGUUUGCUGGCCAUGAACUGACGCUCAUAGCGCGAAAGCUAGGGUAGCAAACGGGAUUAGAUACCCCGGUAGUCCUAGCAGUAAACGAUGUAUGCUGGGUGUGGGUGUAGCGAUACAUCCGUGCCGAAGUUAACGCGAUAAGCAUACCGCCUGGGGAGUACGGUCGCAAGAUUGAAACUCAAAGGAAUUGACGGGGGCCCGCACAAGCGGUGGAGCACGU